rfam:Bombyx mori DNA, contig: Bm_scaf8_contig6967, strain: p50T/Dazao, build 2, whole genome shotgun sequence.
UUAAGUCAAAUUUGUAUGGAGUUGGAACGUUUGCCUUUGUUUGCUGCUAGGGGCACUGUUCCAGCUGCAUACAAAUUUCAGGUA